CCUGGAAAUCGUGGGCAGCCUUUGUUAGGUUCAGAAUGUCAGAAUCUGGAAAAGCACAGCUGAAGUUCUGCUUUAUGCAAAUCCCAGCCAGCAGCAUCUGUGAGAAGCAAGCUAACCUAACGGCAUAAAUUUGUGCUACUCUUUUUCAUUUUUAAGUACAGGACAGAUAAUUAUUUUACAUCAUUGUUGUGAUUUUGCUUCUGUGUGCUGCUAACCUUUUAAUGCACUCUUUAUAAAAAGAAAAUGUCUGUUUUCCCUGUACCCCAUGUUUUUCUCCUGGCGUUUAACAUGGAAUGCAAAAACGUGAUCUUCAGCUGAUUUAAAAAGAAGUCAAGGCACAAAAGAAAAGCAUUUUUCCUGCUAUAGUGAUAAAUCUGCCGUGCUAGAGUAAUGUGUCCAAGCAACAGUAUGAGAGUCUAGUUUAGCAUUUGAAUUGGAAUACAGAUGGCAUUAAGGCUAUUGCUGUGCAAUUUUGAUACACUUUUUUUUAUCGCAGAAGAGAAGAUUAAUGCUACUAAUUUCAGUUAUGUGAAAACUGUGAGCUGAUAAAGGACCUGGAUGCUUUUUAAAGCAAAUAUUAAUAGUAGAACGAGGAAUAUUCCUAUGCUGUGGUGGAAAUAAUUGUAUCCCAGGGUUCUGUCACUUUUCCAAACCUUUGUUGUGACCUGUUGACCUUAAGAUGAGAGGAGCAGUGGAAAGGCGAGAAUAACACGCACACAUAAAAAAAGGCAAGAGUCAUGACACCCAGUUCAGAGCACCAUUACUGUACAGAAAGAAAUGUAAGGAGAUAUUGGUUGGCUUUGAAUGGGGUGUAAAAUGCACCAGUAUUUCUCUUCAAAUUUGCUCCGGUGGGAAAUGCUUUUCAGCAUUUGAAUCAUUUUAAUGGUUGAGGUUGGAAAGGACCUCAAGAGAUCACCUGAUCCAACUCCCUGCUCAAGCAGAAAUGCGUACAGCUGAUUCCUUCGGACCAUGCCCAGAUGACUUCUACUGAAGAGAAGAAUUCACUCAAAUGUGUUUUAUUAUAUCAUUAAUAUACAUUCCUAGUAACCACAUGGAAGAUAAGUGUGGGGUAGUUAGUGUGCCAUGAAUUCACACUUGAGCUUGAAUUAUAGUAAUGGUGCUGAGAAAAAGUUUAAUAGGAAUAACUGCUUUCUACGCUGGAGUACACUCUGAAAGGAAGGAAGUCUUCCCAAAUGGUGAAAUUUUGAAGCUCUGCUACUGUCAGUACAGAGUAUGGAAUGAAUUACAGGUCUUGAAGAACAGGAGAGGUGCCUGAAGACUGAAAGAUAGCCAAUGUCACUCUGGUCUUCAAAAAGGGGAAGAACAGGGAUCUGGGAAACUGCAGACCAGUCAGCCUCACCUCUGUCCCUGGAAAGGUAAUGGAACAGCUUGUUCUAGAUGUUCUGGAUCUCAUCUCCAAGCAGUUGGAAGGGAAGAAAGUCAUCAGGAAUAGUCAGUGUGGAUUCACCAAGCGAAAAUCAUGCUUAACCAACCUCGUAACCUUCUAUUAUGGCAUCACCAGCUGGGUAGAUAGGGGAAGAUCAGUGGAUGUCAUCUACCUUAACUUCAGCAAGGCUUUUGACACCGUCUCCCACAAUAUACCCAAGUGACUGACAAACCUGAAGGCUGUGCACCAUUCAGCAAGAUGUGGACAGACUAGAGAGCUGGGCAACAAUAAACCAGAUGAGUUCUGUAUCCAGUUCUGCGCUCCCCGGUACAAGAAAGACAAGGAUCUCCUGGAGAGCCCAGCACAGGGUCAUGACGAUGAUAAAGGGCCUCAAGCAACUCCCUAUGAGGAAAGGCUUAGCUAACUGGGUCUGUUCAGCCUAGAGAAAAGAAGGCUCGGAGGGGAUCUGAUUAAUGUUUUUAAGUAUCUUAAGUGUGGGAGUCAGAGACAUGGUCAACCUCUUUUCAGCAGUCAGUGAGGACAGGACCAGGGGAAACAGCCAUAAACUGGAGCAUAGGAAGUUCCACACCAAUAUGCAAAGGAACUUCUUCACAGUAAGGGUGACGGAGCACUGGAGAGGUUGUGGAUUCUGCCCAGGGAAGUUGUGGAUUCGCCUUCUCUGGAGAUAUUCAAGACCAGCCUGGAUGCCUACCUGUGCAGCCUGCUUUGCAUGGGAGUUGGACUUGAUGAUCUCUGGAGAUCCCUUCCAGCCCCUACAAUUCUGUGAUUCUGUAAAAGCCACAUCUACAGUAUAUGCUUAUUUCUUACAAGUUUAUGUUUAACUGUAAACAUUAAAAUUCAUAAGUUUUUAUACAUUUAUACCUGUCCAUAAUAUUUUAAAUAUUAGAUAAUAUCUGAGGCAAUUAAAUGAAUUCAAGUGGCCUAAUCCUAUGGUGAAGUAAGCUGGUUUCUAAAUCCUGAAAAGAAUCGGACACUGGGAACCGAAUAAAGUUUUCAGUCAAUGUAUCAUUGAGUAGUUUUCAUCAAAAGAGGUAAAACCAAACCACUAGAUCAAUUAAAAUACAGAAUGGAGAAAAAUAUUUGCCUGGUGCUCAAACUCAUCUAUAAUUACUUUCAGGGUGCACAGUUUUCCUAUGACAGAAUCAAAUACUCAGAGAACAAUAAAAAAGUCAAUCUUGAAUCUUAUGAUAGGCAUUUCAUUUUAAAUAUUAAGCACAAAAUCAUUUGUGAAAUGAACCUUUUUCCAUUCUUCCUGUCCCUAGAAUUGUAAUGUGAAGGGAAUUAUAUCCCCUUUCUUCUUUGAAAUAGUGUGUAUUUUUAAAUCAGUGACAAAGACUGUCAUAACUUUGUUUUAUUAAUUUAUAACUUCCAGUAGGUAAGCAAUUACAAUAUGUUCUUAGAUUGCAUGGAUUUAUUUUUCUAUGUAAAUCCCCAAAGGCAGAGUUGCGGGCUCGCUUGUAUAUAUGUGUGUGUCUGUGUGUGUCAAACCAUGGUAAACUAGUUAUGUGAAUUAAAGCAGUGAAUUACAUAGUGAUGUAUGUUCUCUGCUGGACCAUUCCACACUGUUAGAGUUUGUUCAGUUUCAUUUAGGGAACCCUUUUAAAACCUCCAACAGAAAUCAGUGCACUAUUGAAACAGAUUUGCAGAUUUGUUUUAUGUUGAAAUUUAUUCCUUGAAUCUUGUUUUAAACUAAUUUUACUUCAUUUUUUCCCCCUUCCUCAGGCUUUCAAAGCAAAUUCUCUGUGAACUCGCAUAAGAAAUGCUAGAUAUUUAGAAACAUUAAUAUUGCAAAGACAUGUAACUCUCCUGCCAUGGCGAAAAGGCAUACAGAGAAAAACCAAUGAGCAGUACAGCUAAAACCUUUAGGUUCAUGUAUUUUGGACUUCUAAGGUGUAAUGUAUUGGGUUAGGUUACUCACUUGUGCCUUCCUAAAGCCACUGGAACUAAUGGACUUACUUUGUAGCUUCUUCCUGGACCCACCCGUUACCUGCACCCUCUCGUUGCCCAAGACCGGCCUCGCUGCUCCUGCCCUUCGGCCUCGGGCCAUCGGAACGUCGUGCAACGGGACUACUGUCAGAUCCUGGUGCUGUAAUUGAAGUCAUUAUGGCACAAAGGAAUAACCAAAAGAGCAGAACUAAAAAUGGUCCUCAUGAGCAAACAAACAAGCAAAAUGAUGACCCUUCACAAGUGUGUGCUCUCCACCAGUUUUGACAGCUAGCAUCUACAGGAUUCAUUGCACAUCACUGAGGUGCUUAAGUUAGUGACCUGGGCACCCUAAACUUCCUGGACAGUCAAUGGAAUGAAGCAUUUCUUCAAAAGUGUGUCUUCCUAAUCUGCUUUUUUUCUCUAUUGAGUAUACAAGAAGAUUAUAUUAGAUCAGAGCAAAAUAUAUUAUAAUCAGAGCACUUUCAGUAUAGCUUGAACAGUGACUAAGAAGACCAAUACAUUCCUCGGUAGGAAGCCUACAAAUUUUUUACAGUACUGAAGAUGGAACAAGAUGGUUUUAAAAAUCCCUUCCAACCCAAACCAUUCUAUGAUUCCAUAAUUUUUCAGUUCUACUAAAACCAGUAACUCUGUUUCGAGAUUACUGUCAUUCAUUUCUUGAAUUUGGUGAUAAUUAACUGUGCCCAUCUUGAAGAACAGCAGAAAUUGUUUUACUUGCUCUGUUUCUAUGCUCAUGAAGGACAAGAAAAAGCGUGUUCACCAGUGUAAAUUUAGGAAAUUAUAGGAAGGUCAAGUGGUUAAUAAUAUUAUAGGGUUGCUGUUUAACACUUAGCAAAAGUAAAAUUUUUUCUGUUCUAAAGGCAGUCUAAUUCACUGUAAUUGACAUUGAAAUGUUAUCUCCCACUAAUUUGGUAUAAACUGUUUAACUGCUGAGUUUCAUAUUCAAAGCCAAACUCUUCAUUUACAUUUGUAUGUUGGGACAUAAUUUGAUUUACCAUUUCUCCUGUUUUCCACAAAAUGUGCUAAUGACAUGUAUAAAAUUUAUGAACACAUAUUCAAAAAGCCAAAGAACAGAUCUGAAGAAUCUCUGUUUGGCUGAACUAAGCAGGGCGUAUCUCUCUCUGUUGGAAAGAUGUCAUUUCCCAUAUGAGCUGUGCUAAUGUAGCACUUGUCAUCCCAAGCUUGUUUUUGCUGUGCAGUUGGUCAGCCUACUGCAUCUGCAAACUUUUUCUAUAACCAUCAAAAGACUAGCCUAUAUCAUGACAUUUUCAAGGCUCUCAAUAUCCAAUCAAGCUAAAAACAAAACAAAACAAAAAACAGAAACAAAACAACUUCCCUCCCCCCCCCCCCCCCCCCCCAAAAAAAAAAACCACGAAAACCCACAAGUUUUUCUUACAUUACAACACUCCUGCUUCUACCCCAGAUGGAGAUGAAACUAAAGUGUGAUUUCAAAAAUGGCAAAGAAAAUGUGUGACAGACAGAAAUGACAGGGCUUUGUCUACAGCUGGUGAUACAAUAAAGUGAAAUGCCUUCUCAUUGUCCCUAAGCAAUACGUGUAGGGCAGGCUAUAUAAUGUUACUUGAACAUAUUCAUUGAGCUCAAUCAGACCCUAAGCAGAGAAGACUCUCAUCAUCUGCACUUGUCAUAGUCUCUCAGUCUGUGAGCCAACUGCAUGCAUGCUUUUAUAUAUAUAUAUGUAUGUAUUUUUUUCCCCUGUGGUUCUGACAUCUGUGAAUCCAGGAGGCCAAAUGUAGUGGUACAAAAAUGACUCAGUCAUCCAGACUGCAAUGGCACUACCCUAGGCAAGUGUUUCUGCUUUCAGCGUUUUUAGUUCAGAACAGAAGAUAUCAUAAAAAGUCUUAGUUUUACAUAAGUAAACUUCUUAACUAGAUAGAAGAUAUGACAAUGCUAAGUUAGGGCAUAUGGGAUUUUCAUGACAUGCCUGUUGCAAUUCUUGGGAAACAGCAAAUUGUGAACUGAAGGAAGUUGUUAUGCAAGGUUUAGUCUGUUAUUCCAUGGAAAUAGAGUGCAUGAAGAUGCUUAUGUAUUUGUUUGUAUUUGUUAACUAAUGAUAUUAGAUCAUGUCUUCUAAAAUUUUAGCCUCUGUAAGAAAGAACAGAUUCUUCUGAUUGUAUUUUUAUAAUGAAUUUGCCACUCUCUUAGUAACCUGUUAAAUUUUGGUUUACAGAGCGAUGAGUAUCUGCACAGUUAUAAUGCAAUUAGUAGCUGGAAGUAUCUUCUGUGAAGCUAUUUUCCUACCCUUUGUAGUAUGUUGAACCUGAAUUGUAGCGUCAUUUUCUUUUAGUUAUAGCACAGAAAAAUAGGAAUCAUUGUACAAAAGUAAAUCAAAUGACACUUAUAAAACAAGAUGACAAAGAGACAUGAAUAUUUGUUUUAGUCUGUAUAUCUUGUGGGCCUGUAGAUGUAAAUGCAAAUAUUGUUACUUCCUGGCCUGUACUUGCUGAAUAGCAUGUAGCUAGGAGUGUGUGGCUCUCGUUUCUGUGUAGUUAUGCAAUGAAUUAGAAAGUUAUUAAAAAGCAGCUUUGUUCUGAGACCAUAAAGAUCACUUAAACGUUCAAAUUGCAUAGGUAGAUAUACAUGAAUAAAUAAUUACUGAUAAUAAUGCCAGACAAGACAUGUAGAAAACAUUUCUUGAACUUACUUUGCCAGGUAGAUAACUCAGAAAAUCAUUCUAUUUCAGAGAAUAGUUGUCUGCAGAUGUCUCAGAUCCAAAGAGACAAAAGGUUUCAAUAAGUAAAUCUAAAGAUGGCAUCUAUUUGUAAAUAUGGUGGUAUGGAAAUGCCUGCAAACUCUGCUAGUUCUUCCACUGAACCCAUGCCUUUUACUUUAUCCCCUGGAAAAAAAAAAUGUAGUUCGUAAAAUUCUUCUUAGCUGACAGCACUAUCAACUAAUUCCCUCUAAGUCACUUCCAUCUUUCAGUGUUCAACUUACCAUCUGUUCACUCCUACCUACAGCCACCUAAACAAAUGAAAGACAUGAAGCCAAUUGCUUUUUGCUGUUCUAAGCAUUUAUAUAUACAUAUAAUGAAACUUUCAAACAAAUCUCAGAAAUUGAAAUGAAACAAAUUACAUAGAAUUUCAUGGGGAAACAUGUAAUGUUAUAUUAACCCAGUUCAUAGUGCUGAUUUGUGCAGUUUUUGCCAUUUUAAUUUGUUUUACUAUUUUAAUGUAGGAUAUCAGGGUGAGUAUAGAGUGUAUAUAAAGGACAGAAAGCAGAGGAGAUGUUUAUGCUAUAUGCAAGUAACUUUUUGACUACACAGAGCUCCAGCAUACAGCCAAAGACUUGGCUGUCAAAACUCUGCAAAGAACACUGGUGUUGUGCUCCUGAUGAUCUGUUACCAAUCACCUCAUCAACAGGAUGCAGAAGAUGUGGGCUGGCAGCCAGAGAACUUCUAGUAAAGGUUGAGAACAUUAAGACUGAAACACUUGAUGUCUUUUUGCCUCACAUUUCAGUAGCAAAAUCUUGCAGAUUCCUGUGCAUGCGAGACUGUUUUGGGAAGGAGAACUGUAACUAGUAGUAAGGACUACAACCAUUUGGAUAUCUCCCAAUAAACUUGGAUGUAUUGAAAUCCAGGAUGAUGUUGGAUGAUGCUCAACCUGGAUGAUGUCAGGCUGUCAUAAUAAGGUAAUGGUUAUAAAGAGAGAUUUCUGAUUGUUGCAAAAUCAACGUUAUAUUCAUUCUCCCACAGUGCAAAUGCAACAUUCAGGAACCAAGGACUUUUGGUCUAAAAAUUGUGAAGUAUGUAUUUCCAUCUUUUCUAAAUGUGCUGCAGAUGAGAAUGUGUCCAAAAGAUCCUGUGUGAAUUUAUCCAUCCAGUUGCCAUUUAUGUUUAAAUGGCUGGCUUUGAAUACAAGUGGAAAACAACCACUGUAAAGCACCUUGAAAAUAAAGGCUUUUGACUCAGUCUCCCAUUUCUAUUCCCACUUAUAAACUGAGGAAGCAUGGGCUAGAUAAAUAUAUGUAGUGGUUACAUCUGUGAUUAAGUUGAUUUUUCCUUCGUAGUGCCUGGUAUGAUGCUAUGUUUUGGCUUCAAGAAGAAAAGUAAUAUUAAUAACACACUGAUGUUUUAGUUGUUGCUGAGUUGUGCUGUACAGAGCUGGGGACAUUUCAGAUUUUUAGCUUCUCGUACUGUUCUGCCAGUGACAGGGGGAGUUGGCCAGGUGGGCAACUGCUUUACGGGGCCUGGCUCAGCAUCAGUGGGUGAGUGGUAAGCAAUUGCUUGUACAUCACAUAUUUUGUAUGUAUAUAGAUAUUAGAGGCUGAGGAAACAAAGGGAGCCUGUGUUUGUGCCUGUGGCUGCAGAAUUUGAGCAUGUCUUCAGUUGCUGCUGCCUGGCACUUUGUUACUCUGCUGUCUUUGCUGUGCUUUCCAUUGUGUUACAGCAUUACAUAAAGCAAUAAUAUUUUCAGUAGAAAUUAUCACUGCAUUGCUUGGAGUUUGCAAAUAUAUUUCUACUGCUUCAAGCAAACUUACUUACACAUUGCAUAUAAUUCUUUAGUAAUUGUGAAAUCACUUCCUGAAUGUUAGGAUUAUCUUCAUUCAAAGAGAAGGCUAAUUUGUGUACUGAGAUUACAUAACUUAUUUCUGCUUAUAUGGUAAGGCAGUAACAGGACUGAAAAGGAAAGCCUGAGCCUCCUCAUGACUAUUUUAUGAUGAAAAUAGAUACUUUCUUUGAGGUUAUGAACAUCUCUGUUCUUUAAAAUACUGGCACUACCUUUGCAUCUUAGAAAUAGAAUUAACUUCAAAUAGACAUCAAAAUAACUGCAUAUGCGAAUUUGUUAACUUUCAAACUCAUUUCCUUCUAUUUUAAUUUAUUUUGUGAAGCCUUAUAAAAUUAUCCCUUUAGACAGUCAAGCUCAGAUGUUCUAACUGUGUCCUCUGCCAUCUUCUUGUGUACUCCUAUCCUACUCCCUGGGAGGUCAGUGCAAGAAGCAGAAAAAUGAUGUUGUGUGAACACUGCUUGGGAAUAGGUGUGCUAUUAACACUGUUGUCUGUCACAAAUCCAAAGCAUAGCAUUGUGUGAGUUACUGUGAAGAAAACUAACUCAAUCCCAGCCAAAACCAGAACAGGGAUCAACUAGACUGUACAAAGUAAGAGAUCUUGGGAGGGAAAAAAUCUUCCUCCCAGGAAGAAAAUCCUUGGAGUCUUAAAAAAAAAAUAAAAAAUUGAUAUCUCUGCUAAAAAUUGGACUAUUCCAGUUGAACAGUUUUCUUUGUCUUAAUUGAGAACAACUAUGAAUGUUACAAUAGUACGUUGUUUUUUUCUUCUUGCAUAGUAGAUGUAAUAAUAAAGCAGUAUCACUUAAUCACUGUAUACAUAUGAACAUACAUGUACACAUACUUGCUCUCUCUGGGUUUUCAUACAUUAUGAAAUGUAGAAGGCAUUGAGAUCUACUAAUAAGUUUAUGACUUAUUUUAAAAUGCAUCAAUUUGUUUAGUCAUCAUUGUGAACAAAUUGAAAAGUGAAAAUUUCUGUAGUGCUUCACUGAGAUUUGGGCUAGGCUUUACGGAGUAUCUGUUUUUAUUAUUCUGUUUUUAUUUUUGAAGAUGAAUAAAAGAUUUGCAUUUUAA
ensembl:lncRNA